rnacentral:lncRNA from 1 species
AUGUGGUCACGUCCAGGCAGAGUGAUUGUGGGGACACAGCACGGCCCUCGGGCCGAUGGGGAGUGCAGAGAAGGGCUGCCUGGAGUGGGGCGGCAGCGGGGGCCAGGGAGCCCUCCUUGCCUUCCCCAGGUGGGACCAGGAAUGGCUCAGAUUGGUCAGCGUCCCUCUGGUUCCCUGCUGGGCCACCUGCCCUGUCCUUUCUGUUUGCGCGGCCCCGAUGUCUCUGGUGCCGCGGGGUCACUCCCGGUGCCGAGGGGGACCCGGGGGGCAGGAUCGAGGUUCCUGGUGGGGCAGGUCACAGAAGUCAUGUCCCCCCAGGUACUUCUGCCAGCUGGUGGACGGCCUGGAGUACCUGCACAGCCAGGGCAUUGUGCACAAGGACAUCAAGCCAGGCAACCUGCUGCUCACCACGGGCGGCACCCUCAAGAUCUCCGACCUGGGUGUGGCCGAGGUUGGUGCGCCUCCCUUAGCGCCCCGGGGGGCGGGAGGGGGCGCUCCCGCGGGGGCUGCUCCCUGAGGUCCACCUGGCGAUGCUGCAGGCCCUGCACCCCUUUGCCGAGGACGACACGUGCCGGACGAGCCAGGGCUCCCCAGCGUUCCAGCCCCCUGAGAUCGCCAACGGCCUGGACACCUUCUCUGGCUUUAAGGUGGACAUCUGGUCGGCUGGGGUUACUCUGUAAGUGCCCGUGGGCCUCGGGCCCCCUGCUUCACCCCCGCCAGGGGCCCCUCCUGUGCCCACCAAGGACUCAGGCCUGUUUGGGCUUCAGGCCUCUAGAACCGCCCCUCCUAGCGUGUCCCCCAGACACCGUUCCCGGGCUGUGCCGGGUGGCCAGAGUGCCAGAGAAACCGUGGUGCCGAGAUGAGAAGCCCCCUGUGGGUAGGAGCAGAGGGGGCCGCUCCCCGCCUUGUGGGGUCCUUGGGAUUAACCGUGUGGGGGUGCACACGGCCGGGCCUUCCUCCUCGGUCGUGAGGGCUCGUACUGGUACGUUUGCCCCGGUUCACACCCCAGGGCCACUGCUGUUGUCUCGAAGCAAGUGUUUCUGUCCUGACUCUACGCCGUCACCCCGGAGGAGUCUCAGACCGUGUCCCCCAGUUCUGCUCGUCCGUCCCUCGGGGCACAUCCCCGAGCACUUCUGCGUGAGCAGCGGUCAGCGUGGUGCCUGCCACAGAGGGCAGGCCCUAACUUUCCAGAACCUUCCCUCCUGCCUCUUGCAGGGCGGCUGUCGGCCGACAUGGGUGCUUCAUUUCGUUUUAUUUUUGUUUUUUAAGUAUUUAUCUGUUUUUGAGGGAGUGAGAGCAGAGGGGCAGAGGGAGAGAGAGAGAGAGAGAGAGGGAAAGAGCGAGUCCCAAGCAGGCCCCCACUGUCAGUGCAAAGCCUGA